rnacentral:rRNA from 1 species
UCCUGGCCGUAAACGAUGUGGACUUGGUAUUGGGAUGGCUACGAGCUGUCCCAGUGUCGUAGGGAAGCCGUUAAGUCCACCGCCUGGGGAGUACGGUCGCAAGGCUGAAACUUAAAGGAAUUGGCGGGGGAGCACUGCAACGGGAGGAGCGUGCGGUUUAAUUGGAUUCAACGCCGGAAAGCUUACCGGGGGAACUGCCGGAUGUGAGCCAGGCUGAAGUUGCUCGAAUAAUA